rnacentral:rRNA from 1 species
AUUGAACGCUGGCGGCAGGCCUAACACAUGCAAGUCGAGCGGUAACACAGAGGAGCUUGCUCCUUGGGUGACGAGCGGCGGACGGGUGAGUAAUGCCUGGGGAUCUGCCCGAUAGAGGGGGAUAACUACGGGAAACUGUAGCUAAUACCGCAUAAUGUCUACGGACCAAAGUGGGGGCUCUUCGGACCUCAUGCUAUCGGAUGAACCCAGGUGGGAUUAGCUAGUUGGUGAGGUAAUGGCUCACCAAGGCGACGAUCUCUAACUGGUUUGAGAGAAUGACCAGUCACACUGGAACUGAGACACGGUCCAGACUCCUACGGGAGGCAGCAGUGGGGAAUAUUGCACAAUGGGCGCAAGCCUGAUGCAGCCAUGCCGCGUGUGUGAAGAAGGCCUUCGGGUUGUAAAGCACUUUCAGCGGGGAGGAAGGGUCACUAGUUAAUACCUAGUGGCAUUGACGUUACUCGCAGAAGGAGCACCGGCUAACUCCGUGCCAGCAGCCGCGGUAAUACGGAGGGUGCAAGCGUUAAUCGGAAUUACUGGGCGUAAAGCGCACGCAGGCGGUUUGUUAAGUCANAUGUGAAAUCCCCGAGCUCAACUUGGGAACUGCAUUUGAAACUGGCAAGCUAGANUCUUGUA